rnacentral:ncRNA from 1 species
GUACGUCUUCAGGGCGGGGUGGAAUUCCCCACCGGCGGUAUGCGGGCCAUCGGCCUGCGAGCCCGCGAGCGCCCGGCAUGCGUUUGGAUGCCGGGGUCAGCAGAUCCGGUGAGAGGCCGGGGCCGACGGUCAGAGUCCGGAGGGAAGAAGAUGUGC